CCCACUCCUCCUCUCACCUCACUUGCUCGCCGCCGCACCUGGAUCUGGCUCUCGUCUCAUCCAAGCACGGUGAGGUUCUUCCCCUUUCUGCUUUUCACUUUGCUCUCCAGUGGUUCGCCUCCAUCCUCCUUCCCCGCAGCGCUUGCCUCGUUCUUCACCUAGAUCCGGCGUCGGCGUGGGGACGGGCCCUGCCGCAUGACGCUAGGCGCGGCGAAUCUUGAGCUGCGCGUGGCGGGCUCCAGUCCAUGGUCGUGCGUGCUGGACCGGCGGCUAGGCAGGCACAUCCUACUCCAAUCCGUUCUCUGCUCCAAUCCGGCUAGGCGGGCGCGUCAUCCGCCAGCUAAUGAGCAGAUGGAAUUAUAAAGCUCCCAAGAACAGCAAAUCCGGUCUCUGUCCAACAAAUCCGGUCUCUCCCUCGAGCAGUCGAUCUCCUCCGGUCUCUGCCAAGAACAGCAAAUGAGCAAAGCUCCCAAGCCGUUCAAUCUCCAGAUCAUGUCGUGCUUCUUCCUUUUUUUGCCACGCUCAUCCGGCCACCAAAACAGCAAAUGGGCUAUUUUCUCUCCCUCUCUGUCCGUCUGCCAAGAACAGCAAAUGAGCAGAGCUCCCAAGCCGUUCAAUCUCCAGAUCAUGUCGUGCUUCUUCCUUCUUCCUCUUUUUUUUGCCACACUCGUCCAGCCACCAAAACAGCAAAUGGGCUAUUUUCUCUCCCUCUCUGUCCGUGUCUUGUUGUAGCAUCUCAUGAUUCUUUUUUCUGCUUGUACAGGAUUAGGAGUGCACCUAUUUUGAUUCUGCGAUCUGAGUAACUGAUUCUAAAGGUAACUGAAAUUCUACUCUCUGAAACUUGCAUUUUCCAAGAUUCUAAAGGUUGUAAUUAGUUUUUAAUUUGUCUAGAUGGGUGUGAAGGAGAUGUAUCUUCAAUAUUACAAUAGUUAGAACCAGUACCUACGAAGAAGAAGGGUGCUCAUUUGCACUACCAUUUGUGUGGUUUUUUGUGGUAUAAACUGUCUAGAUUACAUAAGAAGAGUAUCAAAUAUGGUCCUUUGUUACAACGAGAUUUGGAACGAGAGAGGCGGCUCAACCGGUUGUUUAAUGGGACAGAAGCCAAUUGUAUUAGUGAGUUGCGCAUGCGCAAAUUUGUUUUCCAUAGGUUAUGUAGCCAUUUAAGGUCUCAUAGGCUGUUAGAGGAUACCGUCAAUGUCUCUGUUGAAGAACAGGUUGCUAUGUUCUUAAAGUUUGUUGGCCAUAGAUGGACAAAUAGGUCAGUUGGGUUUGAAUUCCUACAGUCCGGAGAAACAGUUAGCAUGUACUUCAACCUUGUUUUAGAUGCUCCAUGUGUCAUGUCACAUGACCUCAUUACUAUGAGAACCACAGAGACACAUCCAAAGAUAUCUAGUAGCCCGGGAAGAUUUCACCCUUACUUUGAGGUAACAUAUCUCACACACACAUAUAUAAAUGGAAUUGAUCAUUAUAUUAGGUACUUACAAAUACAUAUUUUUUUUGUUUGAUAGAGAUGUGUAGGAGCACUCGAUGGCACACAUGUACCAGCAUGGGUCCCCAUUUAUAUGCAGGAUAGGUUUAGAGGUAGAAAACACUACCCAACACAGAAUGUGUUAGCUGCCGUGGAUUUUGAUCUUAGGUUUACAUAUGUGUUGGCUGGAUGGGAAGGAUCAGCUCAUGACUCAUUUGUGCUCCAAGAUGCAUUGUCACGUCCCUCAGGCUUAAAAAUUCCCGAAGGUAGUAGACAAGACACACGAGUUACCCCUUUUUUGGCUUGUAAAAUGACUAGCUAAUUUUAGUUAAAUCCAAUUGUAGGUCAUUUCUUUCUAGCAGAUGCGGGUUAUGCAGCACGACCUGGCAUAUUACCUCCAUUUAGGGGUGUUCGGUACCAUCUUAAGGAGUUUCAGGGUACUAGGCGGCCAGAGAAUUCAAAAGAAUUAUUCAACCUUCGACACUCUUCUCUUAGGACAACGAUAGAACGAGCAUUUGGUACACUCAAAAACAGAUUUAAGUUACUCACAAGCCAACCAUUCUUCCCUCUCAAAACUCAAGUGAAGAUAGUUUUGGCUUGUUGUGCUUUGCACAACUUCAUAAUAGAGGAUGGUACUGAUAUUUAUGUUUAUGAAGAUGAGGCAUGGUUUGGAAGUCUUCCAAGAAGCAGUCGUACCCAUGCUGAUAUGAACAAAGAUAAUAAACUUUGGGCCACUAUGCGUGAUCAGCUAGCGCAGCAAAUGUGGGACGAUUGGGAUGAAAAUUGAUCUUUUUAUGUGGCUGUAAUGAGAACCUAUUUUAUGGUUUUAUGUGGCUGUAAUGAGAACCUAUUUUAUGGUUUUAUGUGGCUGUAAUGAGAACCUAUUUUAUGGUAUUAUGUUGCUGUAAUGAGAACCUAUUUUAUGGUAUUAUGUUGCUGUACUCAGAACCUAUUUAUGUUAUAUUCAUGGUAUUUUGUUUGUGCCUUUAUUACUGAAAUUUAUAGAUGAGUAAAGGAAAAGAGAAGAUUGAGAGGACCAUUGUGUGGGAUGAGGAUCAAAGCAAGUUUAUGCUUGGUUGGUUUACUGACUUCAUAAAAGAACAAUAUGCUGGUUUUAAGAUUAAAAAACAACGCCACUUCAAGUGUGCUGAGGCAUUGAACAGACAAUUCAAUAUGGGGGUCACUGCUACUCAAGUUGAAAGACAUUACAGGCAUUAUAAAGAGAAUUGGAAGUUUGUUGCUGCAGCCUUAAGCAAGAGUGGUAACACUUUUGACACAAUAAGGUCUAUGGUAGUCAUAUCUGAAUCAGAGAAAGCUAACCUAAAGGUAAUAAACUCUUCGAUGCAUUUUUCUAAUUUCUAGUUUCUUUAUGGAAUGUGCAUUUCCUUCAGAUGCUUAUGUUUUUGUAUGCUCCUAAAAAUUCAAGAAGGCUCUCUAGAUGCUUUCAGAUGCUUUCUGUAUUUUCUUUAUGGAAGUUUGUUGCUGCAGCCUUAAUGCUUAUGUUUCUGUAUGCUUAUGUUUCUGAAUGCUUAGGAUACAUGUUCCUAAAAAUUCCUAUUUAUGCUCUAUGUUUCUGUAUGCAGGAUAGGGCAAGAAGGCUCAUUUCUAAGCCUAUCAAGUUUUUCAAUGAAAUGCAAGAGUUGUUUAUUAACAGCAGUGCUGAUGGCUCUCUAGCCAUGGAAGCUACAACUUGUAUGAAUGAAACUCAUCCUGGAGAUGACAGUGACUUCAAUGAUGAUGUGUGCAGUGACUUCUCCAACUAUCCUCAGCCUGUGCAUGAUCUAGGUGAUGAUUCUGACACUUUACCAUCUCCCAAUCAUCAUCCAUCUCAAAACGUUGAUCAUAGCUCGUCAAGUUCUGGACUGAAGCGCCCACAAGGAGAGGGAGUACCAGCGAAAAGGAAUGUGAAACCAAAGAGUCGCACAACAAAGGUAGUAGAUGAACUCAGUGCUACUUUGGUAGAACUUCGAAAUGAUCUUAAGAAGCCACCACCUCCAGUGCCUAUGCCUUUUGGUAACCCUGAUGCAAUAUUGUGGCAAAGGCUUGAGAAUAUGACAAUUACUACUGAUCAAAAGUUAAUGGUAGGAACGUAUCUAGCACACAAAGAUCAAAAGGGUAUGCGUGGUUUCUUAUCUGCUGCAUCAGACAUAACAUUUGAGUCAUGGGUACUAAAGCAUCUGAGUGAUUUGGACCUAUGAAUCGACUAGGUAAUUUUUUGUUGUAUUUUCUAUCAUUAUAGCUCUAUUGUUUAUGCUUAUAAUAAUUUGAGAUAUUUUUUGCAAUUGUAGCAGGAUGAUCCAUGUAGGAGAUGAAUGGUGUGAUAGUUGGGUUUUUUGCAUUUCUUCUAGGUUGAUGGAUGUCAAUUGAUGGAGAUAUUUGGUGGUUGUGACUGCUGUUACAUUGCUCUUUUUGUUGAUUUUUAACUUUGAGGGUACCAAUGAGCAUAGUGCAUAGCACCAGUACCUUUUACAAUUAUGGAAUCUCUGCAAAGCAAGGAAGGCAUUGGACUGUAAUAAAUUUUGCUCCAAUUUCGCAUUGCAAAUGUUCUAGUAGUGUCAGAUUUUUCUCUAAUGCUUCUAGUGAAAAAUGAGACCUUUUGGAGACAGUUUCUAAAUUUUGUGUGCUGCUAGCCUAAAUUAUGUGUG
rnacentral:lncRNA from 1 species